GACGAACGCUGGCGGCGUGCUUAACACAUGCAAGUCGAGCGGUAAGGCCUUUCGGGGUACACGAGCGGCGAACGGGUGAGUAACACGAGCGUGAUCUGCCCUGCACUUCGGGAUAAGCCUGGGAAACUGGGUCUAAUACCGGAUAUGACCUCCUAUCGCAUGGUGGGUGGUGGAAAGAUUUAUCGGUGCAGGAUGGGCCCGCGGCCUAUCAGCUUGUUGGUGGGGUAAUGGUCUACCAAGGCGACGACGGGUAGCCGACCUGAGAGGGUGACCGGCCACACUGGGACUGAGACACGGCCCAGACUCCUACGGGAGGCAGCAGUGGGGAAUAUUGCACAAUGGGCGAAAGCCUGAUGCAGCGACGCCGCGUGAGGGAUGACGGCCUUCGGGUUGUAAACCUCUUUCAGCAGGGACGAAGCGCAAGUGACGGUACCUGCAGAAGAAGCACCGGCUAACUACGUG
rnacentral:rRNA from 1 species